UACGUAGGGCGCAAGCGUUGUCCGGAAUCAUUGGGCGUAAAGCGCGCGUAGGUGGCCUCGUAAGUCCGCUGUGAAAGUCAAAGGCUCAACCUUUGAAAGCCGGUGGAUACUGUGGGGCUAGAGUACGGAAGGGGCGAGUGGAGUUCCUGGUGUAGCGGUGAAAUGCGCAGAUAUCAGGAGGAACACCAAUGGCGAAGGCAGCUCGCUGGGACGUGACUGACGCUGAGACGCGAAAGCGUGGGGAGCAAACAGG
rnacentral:rRNA from 1 species